AUGAACGCUAGCGGCAGGCUUAACACAUGCAAGUCGAGGGGUAACAGAGGUAGCUUGCUACUUGCUGACGACCGGCGCACGGGUGCGUAACGCGUAUACAAUCUACCUUAUACAUAGGGAUAGCCUUUAGAAAUGAAGAUUAAUACCUUAUAGUCUAUUAAUAUAGCAUUAUAUAAAUAGUAAAGCUUCGGCGGUAUAAGAUGAGUAUGCGUCCUAUUAGUUAGUUGGUAAGGUAACGGCUUACCAAGACAACGAUAGGUAGGGGCCCUGAGAGGGGGAUCCCCCACACUGGUACUGAGACACGGACCAGACUCCUACGGGAGGCAGCAGUGAGGAAUAUUGGACAAUGGAGGAAACUCUGAUCCAGCCAUGCCGCGUGCAGGAAGACGGCCCUAUGGGUUGUAAACUGCUUUUAUAUAGGAAGAAACCUUUUCACGUGUGAGAAGCUGACGGUACUAUAAGAAUAAGGACCGGCUAACUCCGUGCCAGCAGCCGCGGUAAUACGGAGGGUCCGAGCGUUAUCCGGAAUCAUUGGGUUUAAAGGGUCCGUAGGCGGGAAUCUAAGUCAGUGGUGAAAUCUUGCAGCUCAACUGUAAAAUUGCCAUUGAUACUGGGUUUCUUGAAUUAGUGUGAAGUGAUUAGAAUGUGUAGUGUAGCGGUGAAAUGCAUAGAUAUUACACAGAAUACCAAUUGCGAAAGGCAGAUCACUAACACUAUAUUGACGCUGAGGGACGAAAGCGUGGGGAGCGAACAGGAUUAGAUACCUGGUAGUCCACGCCGUAAACGAUGGAUACUAGCUGUUCGAUCUUCGGAUUGAGUGGCUAAGCGAAAGUGAUAAGUAUCCCACCUGGGGAGUACGUUCGCAAGAAUGAAACUCAAAGGAAUUGACGGGGGCCCGCACAAGCGGUGGAGCAUGUGGUUUAAUUCGAUGAUACGCGAGGAACCUUACCAAGACUUAAAUGUAUUUUGACAGGUUGAGAAAUCAACUUUUCUUCGGACAAUUUACAAGGUGCUGCAUGGUUGUCGUCAGCUCGUGCCGUGAGGUGUCGGGUUAAGUCCCAUAACGAGCGCAACCCCUAUUUUUAGUUACCAGCGAGUAAUGUCGGGAACUCUAGAAAGACUGCCUGUGUAAACAGUGAGGAAGGUGGGGAUGACGUCAAAUCAUCACGGCCCUUAUGUCUUGGGCUACACACGUGCUACAAUGGUUACUACAGUGGGCUGCCAUCUGGCAACAGAGAGCAAAUCCAUAAAGGUAAUCCCAGUUCGGAUCGGAGUCUGCAACUCGACUCUGUGAAGUUGGAAUCGCUAGUAAUCGUAGAUCAGAAUGCUACGGUGAAUACGUUCCCGGGCCUUGUACUCACCGC
rnacentral:rRNA from 1 species